rnacentral:lncRNA from 1 species
CCCGGAAGCAUCCAGCCAGCACCACGGCGUCACCGCAGCUCUCCGUGCGCAGAGCUCAGGGACACCCAAACUUCAGCUAAGGGUCAUCUCUGCAGUUUACCCAGCUCCAGAAUGCCAUACCUACUACGUAAAACUGGUGCAAGUUGGUAUCACUGCGGUGGGUAACAGAGAUGGCUUGGAAACUACACAACCCAACAUGCAACGCCCACCAGCACGGGCUGCUCUACGCUAAGGGAGGAAGGUUUUUUGCUGGGGUGCAUUCAACUCACAUGCCUCAUGUUGGCCGUACCAGCCUAAGUCAUGCAGCUGUCUGCACGCAACGCUCUACACAGUGCAAA